UGCGAUAAGCGCCGGUAAGGUGAUAUGAACCGUUAUAACCGGCGAUUUCCGAAUGGGGAAACCCAGUGUGAUUCGUCACACUAUCAUUAACUGAAUCCAUAGGUUAAUGAGGCGAACCGGGGGAACUGAAACAUCUAAGUACCCCGAGGAAAAGAAAUCAACCGAGAUUCCCCCAGUAGCGGCGAGCGAACGGGGAGGAGCCCAGAGCCUGAAUCAGCAUGUGUGUUAGUGGAAGCGUCUGGAAAGGCGCGCGAUACAGGGUGACAGCCCCGUACACAAAAGCGCAUGUGCUGUGAGCUCGAUGAGUAGGGCGGGACACGUGGUAUCCUGUCUGAAUAUGGGGGGACCAUCCUCCAAGGCUAAAUACUCCUGACUGACCGAUAGUGAACCAGUACCGUGAGGGAAAGGCGAAAAGAACCCCGGCGAGGGGAGUGAAAAAGAACCUGAAACCGUGUACGUACAAGCAGUGGGAGCACAGGUUUACCUGUGUGACUGCGUACCUUUUGUAUAAUGGGUCAGCGACUUAUAUUCUGUAGCAAGGUUAACCGAAUAGGGGAGCCGGAGGGAAACCGAGUCUUAAUUGGGCGUUAAGUUGCAGGGUAUAGACCCGAAACCCGGUGAUCUAGCCAUGGGCAGGUUGAAGGUUGGGUAACACUAACUGGAGGACCGAACCGACUAAUGUUGAAAAAUUAGCGGAUGACCUGUGGCUGGGGGUGAAAGGCCAAUCAAACCGGGAGAUAGCUGGUUCUCCCCGAAAGCUAUUUAGGUAGCGCCUCGUGAAUUCAUCUCCGGGGGUAGAGCACUGUUUCGGCUAGGGGGCCAUCCCGGCUUACCAACCCGAUGCAAACUGCGAAUACCGGAGAAUGUUAUCACGGGAGACACACGGCGGGUGCUAACGUCCGUCGUGAAGAGGGAAACAACCCAGACCGCCAGCUAAGGUCCCAAAGUCAUGGUUAAGUGGGAAACGAUGUGGGAAGGCCCAGACAGCCAGGAUGUUGGCUUAGAAGCAGCCAUCAUUUAAAGAAAGCGUAAUAGCUCACUGGUCGAGUCGGCCUGCGCGGAAGAUGUAACGGGGCUAAACCAUGCACCGAAGCUGCGGCAGCGAACGUAUCACUUAAAGCGAUUCAGCGGGUUACGAUUGACGGAGCGAAGCGACGUCAAAGCGUAUACAAAGUCGAGUCGGUUUAAGGAUACGUUCGUUGGGUAGGGGAGCGUUCUGUAAGCCUGUGAAGGUGGCCUGUGAGGGUUGCUGGAGGUAUCAGAAGUGCGAAUGCUGACAUAAGUAACGAUAAAGCGGGUGAAAAGCCCGCUCGCCGGAAGACCAAGGGUUCCUGUCCAACGUUAAUCGGGGCAGGGUGAGUCGACCCCUAAGGCGAGGCCGAAAGGCGUAGUCGAUGGGAAACAGGUUAAUAUUCCUGUACUUGGUGUUACUGCGAAGGGGGGACGGAGAAGGCUAUGUUGGCCGGGCGACGGUUGUCCCGGUUUAAGCGUGUAGGCUGGUUUUCCAGGCAAAUCCGGAAAAUCAAGGCUGAGGCGUGAUGACGAGGCACUACGGUGCUGAAGCAACAAAUGCCCUGCUUCCAGGAAAAGCCUCUAA
rnacentral:rRNA from 1 species